GCUGGGACCCAAGUCAAUAAGGUGUGAGACACUUAAUCUCAGGGUUGUGGGUUCAAGCCCCAAGUUCAGCA